rnacentral:tRNA from 1 species
GCGGGCGUGGUGGAAUUGGCAGACACGCUGGAUUUAGGUUCCAGUGGGGAUACCCCGUGAAGGUUCGAGUCCUUUCGCCCGCACCA